rnacentral:rRNA from 1 species
UACGGGGGGGGCAAGCGUUGUUCGGAAUUACUGGGCGUAAAGGGCUCGUAGGCGGCCAACUAAGUCAUACGUGAAAUCCCUCGGCUUAACCGGGGAACUGCGUCUGAUACUGGAUGGCUUGAGUUCGGGAGAGGUGAGUGGAAUGCCGAGUGUAGAGGUGAAAUUCGUAGAUAUUCGCAAGAACACCAGUGGCGAAGGCGGCUCACUGGCCCGAUACUGACGCUGAGGCACGAAAGCGUGGGGAGCAAACAGG